GCCCGGUUAGCUCAAUCGGUAGAGCGUGAGACUCUUAAUCUCAAGGUUGCGGGUGAGUUACCAUGUUCAUUUCAAGAUUCUACUGAAAUACUGACAACCUUGCCAGGUUCGACCCCCGCAUCGGGCU